UGAUGUCACUGUGACUGGUCAUCAUGCCUGGUUUUCUAUUCUUGUUUCUUUCAGUCCUUUGAAGUUUUGUUUCUGGACUUCAUUCGCAGGCCAGAUCUAGCCAUAGAACCCUCAGCUACUUCUCCAGUGCCACGCCUGCCUGCAUGCCGUCAUGCUUCCCGUCAUGAUGACAAUGGACUAAACCUCUGAACUGUAAACCAGCUGUUGUGGGUCACUUUUGCUACCCCGCCUAAGCUCCGGGAAUGGGCUGUGCUACCAGCCCCCACCCAGAUUCCCUCAAAUCCACAGAUUAAAAAAAAC
rnacentral:lncRNA from 1 species